rnacentral:rRNA from 1 species
GAUGAACGCUGGCGGCGUGCCUAACACAUGCAAGUCGAGCGAACGGACGAGAAGCUCGCUUCUCUGCUGUUAGCGGCGGACGGGUGAGUAACACGUGGAUAACCUACCUAUAAGACUGGGAUAACUUCGGGAAACCGGAGCCAAUACCGGAUGAUAUUUUGAACGGCAUGGAUCAAAAGUGAUAGAGGGUCUUGCUGUCACUAAUAGAUGGUUCCGCGUUGCAUUAGCUAGUUGGUAAGGUAACGGCUUACCAAGGCAACGAUGCAUAGCCGACCUGAGAGGAUGAUCAGCCACACUGGAACUGAGACACGGUCCAGACUCCUACGGGAGGCAGCAGUAGGGAAUCUUCCACAAUGGGCGAAAGCCUGAUCGAGCAACGCCGCGUGAGUGAUGAAGGUCUUCGGAUCGUAAAACUCUGUUAUUAGGGAAGAACAGAUGUGUGUGUAUCUGUGCACGUCUUGACGGUACCUAAUGAGAAAGCAACGGCUAACUACGUG